GAUGAACGCUGGCGGCGUGCCUAAUACAUGCAAGUCGAACGCUUUGUCUUUAAUUGUUAUGCAGAGCUUGCUCUGACUUGAGUUUAUCUGACAAAGAGUGGCGAACGGGUGAGUAACACGUGGGUAACCUACCUCUUAGCAGGGUAUAACAUUUGGUAACAAGUGCUAAUACUGUAUAACACUAACAACCGCUUGGUUGUUAGUUGAAAGAUGGUUCUGCUAUCACUAAGAGAUGGACCCGCGGUGCAUUAGCUAGUUGGUAAGGUAAUGGCUUACCAAGGCGAUGAUGCGUAGCCGAGUUGAGAGACUGAUCGGCCACAAUGGAACUGAGACACGGCCCAGACUCCUACGGGAGGCAGCAGUAGGGAAUCUUCCGCAAUGGGCGCAAGCCUGAUGGAGCAACGCCGCGUGUGUGAUGAAGGGUUUCGGAUCGUAAAACUCUGUUAUAAGGGAAGAACGACAUUGAAAGUAACUGUUCAGUGUGUGACGGUAUCUUAUCAGAAAGGAACGGCUAACUACGUG
rnacentral:rRNA from 1 species